UGUAAAGUUCCUGGACAAAUAAUAAUUAGUAAUAAAAAUAAGAACAAGCACAGCAACAGGGCUUCCACAACAAGUUACCAAACCCUGGGUGGCUUAAAACAACAGGAUUUCAGGUUCUCGUCAUCUGGAGGUCUGAAGUCUGGAGUCAAGGAAUCAGCACGGCUCUGCUCACUCCGAAGGCUCCAGGAGAGAACCUUUCUUUGCUUCUUCCAGCAUCUGGUGGCUGCAGGCAUUCCCUGGAUUGUGGCAAAGUGUGUGGUGCAACAGCAGAGUGGAAAGAGAAUGUGUGGAUCAGACAUACCUGGGUGGAAACUGACUUUACCAACGACUGGCUGGCUGCAAGACCUUGGCGAUUAUCCUUAACCUAGCCUCAGUCUCAACCUGUGACACGGCAAUGGCAGCUUAGAGAGGUUAAGCUACUUGAGUCACACCCGUGUCAGGUGGAGGAGCUGAACCUUGGAUGCAGGAGUAUCCGUUUCUACUGUCUCAACUCUUCCUAACUGCUUUGGAAUGACAGAAUGAGGAAAUGCACCCAACGUGAAUUUUGCGUUCACCAUUACCUGCAAAAUGUCAGUGGCUAAUGCCAGCUUUGGCUGACUGUCCUGAUAUCCAGAGCAAUGGUUCCUAAAUUUUGGUCCACGGUCCAGUGCCAGCUUAGGACCAAGGAUUCACAGUCUUUGAUGUGAGGAAAAUAAGAACAUAAAAUUGGCCAGGCGUGGUGGCUCACGGCUGUAAUCCCAACAAUUUGGGAGGCCCAGGCGGGCAGAUCACCUGAGGUUGGGAAUUCAAGACCAGCCUGACCAACAUGGUGAAACCCCAUCUCUACUAAAAAUACAAAAACUAGCUGCGCAUGGUCGCGCAUGCCUGUAAUCCCAGCUACUCAGGAGGCUGAGGCAGGAGACUCACUUGAACCCGGGAGAUGGAGGUUGCAGUGAGCUGAGAUCACACCACUGCACUCCAGCCUGGGUGACAGAGCGAGACUCCAUCUCAAAACAAACAAACAAACAAACAACAAACAAAAAACCCAUAAAAUUAAAUGUAUUAAAUUAAAGAACUGCCUUAACUAUGAGAUCAUGUUCAUUCAUUUUUGAGAGUCAAGUGACCCUUCCUUUCAUGAAAUAAUGGUGAUACCCUGAGGUCAGGAGUUCAAGACCAGCCUGGCCAACAUGGUGAAACCCUGUCUCUACUAAAAAUACAGAAAUUAGCCGUAUGUGGUGGCAGGUGCCUGUAAUCGCAGCUACUCGGGAGGCUGAGGCAGGAGAAUCUCUUGAACCUGGGAGAGGGGCUGUUGCAGUGAGCCAAGAUCACACCACUGCACUCCAGCCUAGGCAACAGAGCGAAACUCCAUCUCAAAAAUAAAUAAAUAAAUAAAUAAAUGAAAUAAUGGUGAUAGGAAUUCGUAGUUUUGUUGUUGUUGUUAUUUUUGUUUUUAAGUGCUCUUACUUGGCAAAAUAAACUUAUCAUACUGAGUUGAAAUCCCACUUUUUUUAGAUUGCUGUGGAAUCCCAAUGCCUGAGAAUGAUUGCUAUGGAGAAAGGAGGAAGUAAUAAAGUCCUGGGCCUCUGAGAGCAAAUAGGGAGGUGCCUUUAAUGGAUGAUUUUAGUGGAGACUGCAAUAAAAAUUCCUGUUCAUAAAUAUCACCUUUUCCACUGUGCCCAGCUUACUUUGAGUAGCCCUUGAAAAUAGGACCUAAAAUUCAU
rnacentral:lncRNA from 10 species